AUUGAACGCUGGCGGCAGGCCUAACACAUGCAAGUCGAACGAGUGGCGGACGGGUGAGUAAUGUCUGGGAAACUGCCCGAUGGAGGGGGAUAACUACUGGAAACGGUAGCUAAUACCGCAUACCAUCGGAUGUGCCCAGAUGGGAUUAGCUAGUAGGUGGGGUAACGGCUGACCUAGGCGACGAUCCCUAGCUGGUCUGAGAGGAUGACCAGCCAACCUGGAACUGAGACACGGUCCGGACUCCUACGGGAGGCAGCAGUGGGGAAUAUUGCCCAAUGGGCGCAAGCCUGAUGCAGCCAUGCCGCGUGUAUGAAGAAGGCCUUCGGGUUGUAAAGUACUUUCGGCGAGGAGGCGUUACUCGCAGAAGAAGCACCGGCUAACUCCGUGCCAGCCGCCGCGGUAAUAC
rnacentral:rRNA from 1 species